UACGUAGGGUGCAAGCGUUAUUCGGAAUUACUGGGCGUAAAGCGUGCGCAGGCGGCUUUGUAAGUCUGCCGUGAAAUCCCCGGGCUCAACCUGGGAAUUGCGUUGGAGACUGCAAGGCUGGAGUCUGGCAGAGGGGGGUAGAAUUCCACGUGUAGCAGUGAAAUGCGUAGAGAUGUGGAGGAACACCGAUGGCGAAGGCAGCCCCCUGGGUCAAGACUGACGCUCAUGCACGAAAGCGUGGGGAGCAAACAGG
rnacentral:rRNA from 1 species